UUUGACCAAAAAUCACAUUUUAACCAUUAACCACUCCCCGUAUUCACCUGAUAUGGCACCGUGCGACUUCUUCCUUUUCGGAAAAAUGCAUUUGCCCCUAAAAAGAAAGCGUUAUGCAGACGUAGAGACCACUCAAAAGGCUUGCACCGGCAUACUGGCGGCCAUACCGGCCAACGAGCUAAAACACUCGUUCGACAUGCUUUUGGACCAUGCAAAAAGCUGUAUUGAAGCAGAAGGAGACUAUUUCGAAUAAAAUAAAUUGAUUUUGCCGAAUAAACCAUUUGUUCUGUUUUUUUUUAAUCCUUUUUACUUUGGAACGCGCCUUGUACAUUGCAGUGAAACCACAAACGGGAUUGACACGAAAACAUGUGGGAGUACGUCUUCAGAGUCAGGACCAUGGCACUAGUCUGGUUUUAAAUCAACUCAGCCUGUACCAUCAACGUAAUGUCGACGUAGCAUAGAACGUACUUGAAGAACUGGCAAGGUUUCCACAGGACGGAGGUGACGGUUACAUUAACCUGAAAGCCAUUUUUUCAAGUUGUCACUUGCAGAACCUCAGGAAAGGAUCGGUGACUUGGCUAAAGGUAAACAAAAGUUCAUUUCCCUCAAGUAUGGUUGUUAACCUAACUAAAGUAAACAAAAGUAUCAUUGACCUCAGGAACUUUUGUUGACUUGUUAAACUUAAUAAAUAUUGUUUUCGUCGAGUGAUUAUUGAGAAGAAGUUCAUUUCUAACAUUAAUAGCCGAAAUUACAUUAUCUCUAUAUGGAACGCUUAAUUUUUGGUUUCAUAUUCAAAAUUUAGGUUCAUAUUGAAUCAAGAAACUUAAAGAGAAACUUGUAACAUAUUAUUUAAUAAAAUAAUUUAUACAUCGUUUUUCUCAUUUAUUAUUACACAAUUAAAUUCCAUACUUUACAAGUCGUUUUUCGGACUUUUUUCUAAUCGAAAUUCAAAAAAAUUUGCGUUAAUAAAAAUAUACUUCUUACUAAUACAUAAAAUCAAAAAAUUAUUUCAACUACAGAUACUAUAAAACUAUUAGAAAUAUUUCUAUUAUAUGAACUUGUGGUUAGAUAAAUCCGAUAGCUUUAAGUAACAAGCAUUCCUGCAAACCGAAUCUAAAUAGCAGUUAAAGAAAAUUUUGAAAAAUCAAUCAAAAAUUUAAAUACCAUAGAGUUUAUUAAAAGAGCUUUAAUAAUAAUGUUCCGACAAUUAACAAAAUAAAGUAGAUUUUAAAAUAAACUACAAAAAUGUUUGUGAAAGUAUAUAUCGCUUUAAAAUCUACUUUGUUUUGAUUCUUUUUUUUACCCACAUUUCUUAGGAAUUUAAAAACAGCAAACGAUCGCAGUAGAAAACAAUCAAAUUUGUUACAUUUUGUACGUUUGAUAGUGAAUUGUAGGUAUGUAGUUACGUAAUUGAGAGUUCCAAAUUGCAGACGGUUGAAGAUAAAAAUGUAGAAAAUUUAACAAAAAUGGAAAAAAAAAUUUAAAAAAUAAAAAAAAAUAAAAUUAUAAGAAAAAGUAAAAAAAAAUUUAAGAAAAAUUUAAAGUAAAAUUUAAAAAAUAUAAGAAAAUAAAUAAUAAUAAAUGAAAUUAACAAAAAUGGAAAAAAAUAUAAAAGAAUUAAAAAAAAAUUAUAAAAAAAUUAUAAAAAAAUUAUAAAAAAUUUAAAGAAAAAUGUAACAAAAUAUAAGAAAUAAAUAAUAAUAAACGAACUAAAAAUAUUAAUAAAAAAUCUUUUUACAGAACCUUCAUAUGCUUUGAGAACCGUUAAAAAAACGACGAAAAAUUAUGAAAAAUAUAUCUAAAAAUAUAAAACGCAACAUUUACAAUUUUGUAUGAAAACAGUUACAAAUCGAGUUCGUAAAAAUAAAAAUAUUUAUAUUACAAUUACUUUUAGCUAAUGGAAUUACAGAAGGAAAUGUUUUAAACUAUUGAAAUUUAAUAGGAAAUUUGUAUUGCGUAUAUAACAUAACGAGUAAUGGCUUCCAUAUUCAACAUUUAUGAAAUACAUAAUGCAUAGACAUUUUUUAUAUCACAGCAUAAAAGAAAAUAUAAUAAAGAAAUCAUAGAAAUAAAAUUUCAGCAUAUAACAAAAAAAAAAAGGUAAAGACAUUUUCAGAAUACAUAUAACCACGUUGCAUAACAGUUGCCAAAUUCUUACAGAGAAAUACAACACGAAAACUAAAAAACAAUAAUUUUACAAAAUAAAUGAAUUUACAAUUGUCAUAAACUUAAAAAACUACAGCCGCGAAAUUUCGGAACACUAUUGAAAACAUGAUGACAUUUACAGCUACGAAAUUUAUAACCAUUUGGUGAGUAAGAAUAGAGAGAAAGAAAAAAAAAAUAACAGAAGAUUUUUGAAGUACUUUUUUUACGUGGCGAUCAGAAAUAUUAAUUUUUGAAAGAAAAAAAUAAUGCAUAACUGCACCUACAAACUUUGUUAGGUUAUCUACUGUGGCGCUUCUUCUAAUUUCUGUGCGCAACUUAACUUUAUCUGAUUUAGAAAGAGUUUUAGAGCGCCUCCGUUGUUUUUUGUAAGCAGCUCUUUCAUUCAAGAAAUAACAAAAAUAACAUGAGAGCUUUACAAGACUCACGCGUGAUCUGACAAAAAAGAUGCUAUUGAAAAAGUACAUCUACUUGGAUCAACCGUUACAUUCCGCGGCUUGAUACUGAGCUACUGUAACUUUUCUCUCUGUAAAAUUUCGCUCUCUUCUUGUUUAAGCCAGGUUAGAUGAUGCUUUUUCUUUGCUCACAUACCGGCGAGGGAUAUAGACAAGGGCAAGAGUCGCUGGAAAUCACGCAUGGCUAGAAAUUAGAGGAAAGAUAGGAGUGCGAGUUUUCCAUCAAUGUUAGCUGUAGGCCAACAGACUACAAUGGUUUUUUUUAGGUGGAAGUAGCUGCUUUUAAGGGGCAGUAGACGUACUGCCACGAAGUGCAGCUUCUUUCAGGGAAGUGAGCAUUCACUUCGACUGCAGAGUGGCAAUAUCAGCUCUGAGCUCGCUAACUGUGCACUCAAUGCUACCCAAGGAGUGUCUGUUCUCUAUAUCUAUACUCAUUAUCAGAGAUGGGUGCUUGGUCACAGCAGAAACGUUGAUAAAUGCAAAAGAGAUGAUCUAGCCAAAACGAGCAACUUUGCCUCGGUUACAUUGGAACGGGACCGUGUUGUAUCUUUAUUGCUUUUUUGCGUUCUGCAAUAUCCUUUUGGCCUAGAGUAAAACUCAAAAAAUCGACUGAAUUACUUGCUCUUAGCAAAGUUCAUCUUGCCGCAAUCAUAAGUGGAAACAUCCAAGUACUUUCUCCUCCAUUAUCCAGCCUUUGUAAUUCUCAGGCUGAAACAUCUCGGCAGUCUUAACUUCGAUGAACCAAAAAACAAAGCUGAGACUGACAGCUCAACAAACCGUCUCAACUAAUGUGUGGUAGGUUCAAAGCACUUUGUGGGGUUCUUAUUGGUCAUAAGGUAUAAAAAAUAUCAUAUGGAAGUAUUUGGUACCACAACGGGCCGAAGUUCUAAGCUGUCCACUUGACAUCCCGGUUAGGACCGAUCUUUUAACCUAACCAUAACAUAGUAAUUAUUCGGGAAACAAACCUAUUACAGUGUGCUCUACUAUCUUGAUUGCUAUCAUAGAUAGUUUAUUUAUAUACAAAAAAAAACUAGAUUAUGACACAGCUGAAAUAGUAUUAGGUAUGCAACUAAACACCCGCUGUUUGUCAAUAGAUGGAUCCAGCAGUUAGUGGUGAUCUAUUUUGAUAUAUCCAAAACGUGAUAAACUUAACCUAGACAUUUGAAAAAUAAACUGACUUGGUUUAUGUGUCAUAUAGUCUCGGUUGUGCGCAUAUGUCCGAUUGCCAAACAAUCGUCAUUGACGAGCAGUGUUGAUUUUCUGCUUUCAGUCAAAGAAUUUUGCGGCUAAAGCAUAGCGUAAACUCUAAAAAGUUUACGAAGGGACUACUCCAAGUGAAACAAUA